CAGGCAAGGAGGGGCGGGGGCACCGUGGACCGAAGCUUUCGCGUACGGCGGGCUCCGGCCCACUCUAGCAGCAAAGGGGCCCGCGGGAGGCGUGAAUACCAUGGGCUCUUGCUCGGGCCGCUGUACGCUUCUUGCGCUUUGCGCUCUUCAACUGGUCACUGCUCUGGAACGGCAGGUGUUUGACUUCCUGGGCUACCAGUGGGCACCCAUCCUGGCCAACUUCAUCCACAUCAUCAUGGUCAUCUUGGGGCUCUUCGGCACCCUUCAGUAUCGGCCACGCUACAUUGUGGUGUAUGCUGUGUGGGCAGCUGUCUGGGUUACCUGGAAUGUCUUCAUUAUCUGCUUCUACCUGGAAGUGGGGGGCCUCUCGAAGGACAGUGAGCUCUUGACCUUCAAUCUCUCCCGGCACCGCUCCUGGUGGAAAGAGCAUGGGCCAGGCUGUCUUCAUGAAGAGGCAGCCACAACUGGCCUGGGAGCAAUGCAUGGCCAGUCCUUGGUGGUAGAUGCUGGCUGUGCCACGGUGUAUAGCUAUAUGGAAGCCCUGCACAGUGGUCUGCAGAUCCUGCUGGCGAUCCAUCCAUUUGUAGGACAUGAUCUUGCCCCUCCAAGCUACCUCUCAGGUUUCAUGUUCUGUGGGAUUCCUCACCCAGAUGUUGCCCACUGGCUCCUGGGUUUCGUCUAUGGCUGCUACGUGGUCAGCGUGCUCACAGAAGAAGAAGACAGCUUUGAUUUCAUUGGUGGAUUUGACCCAUUCCCCCUGUACCAUGUCAAUGAAAAGCCGUCCAGCCUCUUGUCCAAGCAGGCAUAUUUAUCACAUUUCCUUCUCUAAAGCAGUACCACGGCCCUACAGAUGCCAUGGCCAUGCCUGGGCUUCCUGGAAGUCUUGGAAUUGAGGCCUGCGUAAGUGAGAGAACAGUUGACCCUUCUCUGGCAACCCAGUUUCAGCCGCCGGAACAAUGAGGAGACUCCAGGCCUGGAGUCACAACCCUGCUUCCCUGCCCGCCUAGCAUUCUUUCCAAAUUCCCCUUGGAUACCAAUGAGGGGCGGGGCACACUGCAGGCCAGGGUGGCUGCAACUGUGAGUUUGUAAUUUCUCUUUCUUUCUCUCUUCCUUUCUUUUUUCUUUCUCUCUUCCUUUCUUUUUUUCUAAAAAGAAAAAAUAGUAAGACAAGACAUGAAAGAAUACA